CCUACGGGAGGCAGCAGUAAGGAAUAUUGGUCAAUGGACGCAAGUCUGAACCAGCCAUGCCGCGUGAAGGAUGAAGGUCCUCUGGAUUGUAAACUUCUUUUAUCUGGGACGAAAAAAGGGCUUUCUAGCUCACUUGACGGUACCAGAGGAAUAAGCACCGGCUAACUCCGUGCCAGCAGCCGCGGUAAU
rnacentral:rRNA from 1 species